AAGUCGUAACAAGGUUUCCGUAGGUGAACCUGCGGAAGGAUCAUUACCGAGUAACUGUACUUUUAGUGCAGACUCCCACCCAUUGUUUACCGACCAGUUGCUUUGGCGGGACGUCGGACUGUUGUAUGAUGGUCUAACGCGCAAGCUUUCACACGUACUUGAACUAUGUAGAGAUGCACGGGUCCUGUGUAUGUGUGAGCUGGCCUGCCCGCCGAGGGUUCAAACUCUGAUUACUUUUGUCGUCUGAGAAAAAAACAAAUCAAUCAAAACUUUCAACAACGGAUCUCUUGGUUCUGGCAUCGAUGAAGAACGCAGCGAAAUGCGAUAAGUAAUGUGAAUUGCAGAAUUCAGUGAAUCAUCGAAUCUUUGAACGCAUAUUGCGCCCUCCGGUACUCUGGGGGGCAUACCUGUUCGAGCGCCGUUAUACUACUAAGGCUCAGCCUUGCGGUGGCCGCCUCCCUGUUUGCGAUUUAUUUUGCGAUGGCAGGGACGGCCGAAACCUAUGGGCGUUUCCGUUAUGAGUGUCCAGCGUAGCAAGUCUCUCGCUGUUAUUCUCCAACGACAACGCCAGUCUAACGAACUUUUGGCCUCGAAUCAGGUAGGGAUACCCGCUGAACUUAAGCAUAUCAAUAAGCGGAGGAAAAGAAACCAACAGGGAUUGCCUCAGUAACGGCGAGUGAAGCGGCAUCAGCUCAGAUUUGAAAUCUGGUCCUUUGGGCCCGAGUUGUAAUCUGCAGAGGAACGUUCGGUCUCGGCGCCGGUCCAAGUCUCUUGGAACGGAGCGUCGUGGAGGGUGAGAACCCCGUACCCGGCCGGUGGCCGUGACCGUGUGAACGUCCUUCGACGAGUCGAGUUGUUUGGGAAUGCAGCUCAAAUCGGGUGGUAAAUUCCAUCUAAAGCUAAAUAUUGGCCAGAGACCGAUAGCGCACAAGUAGAGUGAUCGAAAGAUGAAAAGCACUUUGGAAAGAGAGUUAAACAGUACGUGAAAUUGUUGAAAGGGAAGCGCUUGCAACCAGACUUGGCCGCGGAGGUUCCCCUCGUCUUCUGGCGGGGUCACUCCUUCGUGGACAGGCCAGCAUCGGUUCUGGCGGUUGGAGAAAGGCUUUGGGAACGUGGCUCUCCUUCGGGGGAGCGUUAUAGCCCUUUGCACAAUACUGCCAGCCGGGACCGAGGACCGCGCACUCGCUAGGAUGCUGGCGUAAUGGUUGUCAGCGGCC
rnacentral:rRNA from 1 species